UACGUAGGGGGCAAGCGUUGUCCGGAAUCAUUGGGCGUAAAGAGCGUGUAGGCGGUUCGGUAAGUCGGCUGUGAAAGUCAAAGGCUCAACCUUUGAAUGUCAGCGGAUACUGCCGGGCUAGAGUCCGGAAGAGGCGAGUGGAACUCCUGGUGUAGCGGUGGAAUGCGCAGAUAUCAGGAAGAACACCAACGGCGAAGGCAGCUCGCUGGGACGGAACUGACGCUGAGGCGCGAAAGCGUGGGGAGCGAACAGG
rnacentral:rRNA from 1 species